rnacentral:lncRNA from 1 species
AACAGAAAGAACAGGGCAGAUAGAAUCCAGACGGAGAUUCUGGGCUACACGUUUGUCUUUUCACCACGUGAACGAGCGUUGCAAGUUUGCUGAAAUUUAAUAAACUUUAGCGGCAGGAGUUCAGGAUCACACUACAGGGAACUCAGCUUUCUCCGUGGCUUGUGGGAUUACAAAAGGUGCUGUGCUGGAAAUCCCAUUUGCACUUUCGAAAGCUGGUGACAGGCUAUGACCGAGAACGUCUUAUCAUUUGCCAAGCCAGGAAAAGUGUACUGAACGUGGCGAAAAGCAGUGUUCUUCUACAAAUCCUUGUCUUUUCUGAUGUUCAGCUUCUGUAUUUGUUUCCAUUUUGGUUGAGUCAGUGGGUGGUUGGAUGAUUAGCUCAAUGUUUCUCGUGUAAGAGGAAGGUAAAUGAGAGUAAAGGAAAAACAGCCAAUUUC